GCGGAGUGAACCGCCCCUGCUUUAUGUGCAAUUGUGCAUGUCAGAAUUGCAAUGGGCCAUAUGUAUUGUAAAACACACAUUAUGUAUUGUACACACAUGAAGUGGGAAUUCGUAACUGGUGUCGAUUUUAAUUAAACAUCGCAGUUUUAAUUUAUCGACACUAGUUUUGAAUUUUGUCUUUUUCGCACUUGUAUCGUAAUUUACUAUUAGUUAAGUUAGUGUUAGCGCUCUUUAUCAAUAGAGCAUUAAACUUGUAAAGAAUUAUGAAAAAUUGAAGGCUAUCACUGUAAAAUUGUUCAAAUUAGGUGGGAAAUACAUUCCCUGCCGUACAAAGACGACACAGGACACAGGAAAAAAACACUAAAAGUAUCCUUUUAUUAAUUUUAAUAUUUGGUAGCAGGAUUAUCGUCCUCAUAUUACUGCUUUUAACCUGCUUACCAAAGGUACCAGUUAAACCAGGCCCGAAUUGGUCUGGUUGUCUUAUGUGAGCCUGGACUCAGCUUGUUCUGGGAAGCUAACGCGAGGCAUAGCAUCGCCACUGUCCAUAGCAGGAAAAAUAUAAUUUUAUUCAUAGUUUUUUUUGGAAUUUGUUUCACUUAAAACGUACCUAGGUGACAAAGUAAGGACGGCCGCACUAAAUGUGGCUUAACUGACUGGAUUCUGUAACGAAGAUCUGUGAAAUUGAUUUAUUUUCAAUUAAUAUCUAGUAAUGACUUAUCGCUGCAAUAAACAACAAUCAAGUGUCCGACCACGCCACACAGACCUAUUAAAUUCCAAAAUAUUCAUGCGGUAUUGAUGUGAUCUUUGCCUAUGUGUCGUGAUUUUUUUUGUCAACGACAACAUUUCUAAAGGUCAGAGACUUUUAUUAUAGUGUCACGUCGGUUUUGUCCAAGGUGCAAGAUAUCUAGAGGUAAUACUGCAAGAGGUACCACCUGAUUAAUGAUGCGGAUGCGGCUAACAACCAACUAGGCCACGCCACAUCUGGACUAAGGUCUGAUCGAGCCCGCGAACUUCGAAGUCAACGUGUGGGUAUGCUUUGUACUAAUGUGUAGGUAAGGUAAGGAAUGCAUAGACGCUCGGAGCGGUGCGCUGGGGCGGGCGAGCGGGCGUCCACCGGCACU